rnacentral:rRNA from 1 species
GACGUAGGGUGCGAGCGUUGUCCGGAUUUAUUGGGCGUAAAGAGCUCGUAGGCGGCUCGUCGCGUUGACCGUGAAAACCAGCAGCUUAACUGCUGGCUUGCGGUUGAUACGGGCGGGCUAGAGUUCGGGUAGGGGAGACUGGAAUUCCUGGUGUAGCGGUGAAAUGCGUAGAUAUCAGGAGGAACACCAAUAGCGAAGGCAGCUCGCUGGGGACGUAACUGACGCUGAGGAGCGAAAGCAUGGGGGAGCGAACAGG